rnacentral:lncRNA from 1 species
CAGCCUUUUGCCGUCCCUCGACCCUGAAGCGGGGCAAACGUGGGAACUCCUUACUGCCAGAAAGAAAUGAGGUCUUGCUAUGUUGCCCAAGCUGGAGUACAGUUAGCAGGCAUGAUGAUAAUGCACUACAACCUUGAACUCCUGGGUCCAAGUGAUCCAUCUGCCUUAGCCUCCUGAGUAGCUGGGACUACAGUGCAGAUCUUUUCUCGUAUUAUUCACCACUUUGGAAGACGCAGAGAUAUUGACUGGCUGCUGACCGUAGAUCUGAUUGUAUGGGCAACAACAAAGUCAUUAAGGAAACUGGCAGAAACCGAAGACAUAGUAUGGCUUACAAGAAGAGUUCAAGGAAAAGGAACUAUUGCUUCUCUGUGCCUGAGGCUCAAGAAAGGUAAUGGAUUAGGACUAGGAGACAAAGGAGAAAAGGAGAGAAAAAUCCUUUGGCAAAAUGUUGACAUGGGUUUUUUUUUCUGCCACUAACAUGUUUUAUUACCAGAUUCCUUGCAACAUGCAUUUUUUGUUCAGCACUUGUCUAAUACAUGAUAUGCUGUGAAGGUUUUUUAAUUUCUACCCUUCAGAUACCAGGAGUGCAGAGAGCUGAUUCCAUUCCCUUUCC